CGUAGGGUGCGAGCGUUAAUCGGAAUUACUGGGCGUAAAGCGUGCGCAGGCGGUUUUGUAAGCCAGAUGUGAAAUCCCCGGGCUCAACCUGGGAAUGGCAUUUGGGACUGCAAGGCUUGAGUGCGGCAGAGGAGACUGGAAUUCCCGGUGUAGCAGUGAAAUGCGUAGAUAUCGGGAGGAAUACCGAUGGCGAAGGCAGGUCUCUGGGCUGACACUGACGCUCAUGCACGAAAGCGUGGGGGAGCAAACAGGAUUAGAUACCCUGGUAGUCCACGCCCUAAACGAUGUCGACUGGUUGUUGGGGGUUUGACACUCUCAGUAACGAAGCUAACGCGUGAAGUCGACCGCCUGGGGAGUACGGCCGCAAAGGUUA
rnacentral:rRNA from 1 species